GGGAGAAAGCAGGGGACCUUCGGGCCUUGCGCUAUCAGAUGAGCCUAGGUCGGAUUAGCUAGUUGGUGGGGUAAUGGCUCACCAAGGCGACGAUCCGUAACUGGUCUGAGAGGAUGAUCAGUCACACUGGAACUGAGACACGGUCCAGACUCCUACGGGAGGCAGCAGUGGGGAAUAUUGGACAAUGGGCGAAAGCCUAAUCCAGCCAUGCCGCGUGUGUGAAGAAGGUCUUCGGAUUGUAAAGCACUUUAAGUUGGGAGGAAGGGCAGUAAAUUAAUACUUUGCUGUUUUGACGUUACCGACAGAAUAAGCACCGGCUAACUCUGUGCCAGCAGCCGCGGUAAUACAGAGGGUGCAAGCGUUAAUCGGAAUUACUGGGCGUAAAGCGCGCGUAGGUGGUUCGUUAAGUUGGAUGUGAAAUCCCCGGGCUCAACCUGGGAACUGCAUUCAAAACUGACGAGCUAGAGUAUAGUAGAGGGUGGUGGAAUUUCCUGUGUAGCGGUGAAAUGCGUAGAUAUAGGAAGGAACACCAGUGGCGAAGGCGACCACCU
rnacentral:rRNA from 1 species